rnacentral:rRNA from 1 species
AGCGUAGCCGCGGUAAUACGUAGGUCCCGAGCGUUGUCCGGAAUUAUUGGGCGUAAAGCGCGCGCAGGCGGAUAGGUCAGUCUGUCUUAAAAGUUCGGGGCUUAACCCCGUGAUGAGAUGGAAACUGCCAAUCUAGAGUAUCGGAGAGGAAAGUGGAAUUCCUAGUGUAGCGGUGAAAUGCGUAGAUAUUAGGAAGAACACCAGUGGCGAAGGCGACUUUCUGGACGAAAACUGACGCUGAGGCGCGAAAGCCAGGGGAGCGAGCGGGAUUAGAUACCCGAGUAGUCCCUGUCUCUUAUACAC